rnacentral:rRNA from 1 species
UUUGAAAACCCNUUGGAUUCCCCUAGUAACUGCGAGUGAAGCGGGAAGAGCUCAAAUUUCAAAUCUGGCGCCCUUGUGGACGUCCGAGUUGUAGUCUGGAGAAGUGUUAUCCGCGUCGGACCGUGUACAAGUCUCCUGGAACGGAGCGUCAUAGAGGGUGAGAAUCCCGUCCAUGACACGGACGCCCGAUGCUAUGUGAGGCACUCUCAAAGAGUCGAGUUGUUUGGGAAUGCAGCUCAAAAUGGGUGGUAAAUUCCAUCUAAAGCUAAAUAUUGGCGAGAGACCGAUAGCGAACAAGUACCGUGAGGGAAAGAUGAAAAGCACUUUGGAAAGAGAGUUAAACAGUACGUGAAAUUGUUGAAAGGGAAACGCUUGAAGUCAGUCGCGUCCGGUGGAACUCAGCCUGGUUUCGACCUGGUGUACUUUCCAUGCGGGACGGGUCAACGUCAAUUUCGGCCGGUGGACAAGGGCGAGGGGAAUGUAGCGUUGCUUCGGCCACGUGUUAUAGCCCCCCGUCGUAUACACCGGGCGGGAUUGAGGACGGCAGCACGCCCUUGUGGCCGGGGGGGUUCGCCCCCCACGUAACGUGCUUAGGAUGUGGCAUCAAAAGGGAANUGAAA